GUCUGGUGAUGACCUCCGUUCUGUGCCACGUGUCUGGACCACUGACUUUAUAUGACGUCUGCAAAAC